UGGGGAAUAUUGGACAAUGGGGGCAACCCUGAUCCAGCCAUGCCGCGUGAGCGAUGAAGGCCUUAGGGUUGUAAAGCUCUUUCACCGGUGACGAUGAUGACGGUAGCCGGAGAAGAAGCCCCGGCUAACUCCGUGCCAGCAGCCGCGGUAAUACGGAGGGGGCAAGCGUUGUUCGGAAUUACUGGGCGUAAAGGGCGCGCAGGCGGUCUGUUGCGUUAGGCGUGAAAGCCCUGGGCUCAACCCGGGAACUGCGCUUGAUACGGGCAGGCUUGAAGCCGGCAGAGGGUGGUGGAAUUCCCAGUGUAGAGGUGAAAUUCGUAGAUAUUGGGUGGAACACCAGUGGCGAAAGCGGCUCUCUGGUCCGGAUCUGACGCUGAGGCGCGAAAGCGUGGGGAGCAAACAGGAUUAGAUACCCCCGUAGUCC
rnacentral:rRNA from 1 species